rnacentral:lncRNA from 1 species
GGAAUCUCAACUCCUGUGCUACCCUCCUCCAGCCUCAACCCCUGUUUCCUGACCCCCAAGUGGUUCUGCGUUCCUGUUUUAGCAACACCUCCAUGGCAGCUGAAACUUUAACGCUUACUCAUCACUCUGGUUUCUUCAUUCCUGGCCCUGGGGAUUUCACUUAAUUUCUUCUUGGUUUGAUCGUAUGUAUUUGAACGGAUGUGCUUGUAUUUUCUUCAGGAUUUUAGGUGAUUUUUGGUGGUAGCAGAGAAGACUUUUUCCCUCCUGUAGGUAUAGAUUCAUAAUUUAUAUAAUCUAAUUAGCUACUAUCAAAUCAUCUACAUUUGUAAUUUUUAGGUCUUUCUUCCUUAAAUUGGUAUUGUUUUCUUGCCGCCCCUCUUUAUUUUUUCUUUUUUUUUGCUUUUUAGGGCCACACUCAUGGCAUGUGGCAGUUCCCAGGAUAGGGGUCUAACUGGAGCUACAGCUGCCAGCCACAGCCACAGCAGUGCCAGAUCCAAGCUGCAUCUGCGACCUACACCGCAGCUCAUGGCAAUGCUGGAUCCUUAACCCACUGAGCAAGGCCAGGGAUUGGACCUGAAACCUCAUGGUUCCUAGUUGGAUUUGUUCCCGCUGAGCCAUGAUGGGAAGUCCUCUUGCCUUCUUCUUUUUACACUAAUUAUUUUACGUCACCUCUGUUAAGCCUCAAAAGCUAGCUAACUGAAGUUGUUUCAGGCUAAUGUCCUUUCACCACUCAACUUUAUAACUGACACUCAAAUGCAUUACCCUAAGUGAAAGAAGCCAAGGGCUAUACAUUCUAUAAUUUCACUUAGAUGACAUUCUGAAAAAGGCAAAAUGAUAGAAACAGCAAAGUGAUCAGUGGUUGUCGGAGGCUGGGGGUAGGAAAGGUUAUUAAAAGGGUACCAGAGAAUUUUCUCAAACGGCUCAACAUCUUGAUCAAGAGGGAUGGCUAUCUGGACACCCAGAGAUGUGAGAGGACCAGGUGGGUGGAUUUGUCAAGGAAAUUCAGUCAGGGGGGCAGUUUGGAGGGAUGGAGUGUUGCAGUUUCAAACUAUUGCAUUUAGAAUGGACAAGCAAUGAGGUCCUGCUGUAUGGCGCAGGGAGCUGUAUCCAAUCACUUGUGAUAGAACAUGACAGUAAUGAUGUAAGAAAAAGAAUGUGUAUAUAUGUAUAACUUGGUCACUUUGCUGUACAGCAGAAAUUGACAGAACACUGUAAAUCAAGUGUAAUAAUAAUAAAAAAAGAGAACUGACCCUUCAAAUAGCAAAUGCAAAGCCUUGUGUUAGACAAAAAUAAUUAUACCUGUGUGUUCUUCUAAAGUAUGAAUUUCAUCUAAAUAAAUUCACAAGUCUUUCAAAAUAAUCCACUAAAAACUUUAAUGUAUUCAUUCCAUGAGUUCCUCAUAUAAGCUGUCUGCUGUUUAUCUAAUGAAAGCACUGGGAUUAAAGGCAUUUUUUUAUAAAAAGUUUUUCUAAUUUUUCCCAUAAUUGAGUGUCCAAAAUUAAACAUGAAAACAGUAAAAAGGAAGACUUUAACACUAAAUUUCCCAUAGACAGAAUUUUGUACUGACAAAUUACAAUUCAUUUAAUCAAAGCAGUUCCAGAUACCCUUUCCCCCUAACAAUGCUUGAAAUGUGAUGCUUACAAUCAGAGGGGAGUGACUCAAAUUGCUUCCCAACUUUCAACGAUUUACUAACAGCUUGGGUUGCAGUAAAAGACCUGUGAAUAACUUAAGAAUCCCAGACCUUCACAUGUCAUCAAAUUUCAAAAUCAACAAAUAAAGCAAUUUCAACAAGAUCCAAUGAGAGAAAAGAAAUUAAAUAAACAGAGUAUAUAUAUCCCAACUGAUAUAUGUACUUAGUUUCCCAAUAAACCUCAAGGGAAAAAGAGGCAGACAAAAAAUUGGAAAGAUCAGUUUUAUCUAGUUCAAGGGGUGUCUCCAAUGUUAUUUAGAUUAGAAAUGACUUUGUUAUAUUGCACUUAAGAAAAGCUGUUUUGCUGAUGCUAAAACAUUUCUCGGAAACUGGUUAGAAGAAGAGUGACCACAAUGAAUUUCAGGAUUUACAACUCU